UGCCGGGGCGGGGGUACGCGCGGCAGCACGGUGUUCCGGUGCAGGUGUGGCCGAGCUGGAGCCGGGGGAAGAGCCGCUGCGAAGACGGCAGGAUCCGAGACAGGCCUCGGCGACCGCGGCAGGCGAGGCUGACGGACGGGUUGCUGUCAUGUUUAAAUGGAAAAUACCGACCAGAAAAGGAGGCAAGCAGGAAAAACUGAACAAUGAAAUCAACAACAAAAACGCUCGAAACAACGCAAAGAAGAGGACUGAGAAGGAACCUGACAACAACAGAAGGAACGUGUCGAUGAACGACGGCGGUGAGCUGCGCAGCGCGGAGCCGAACGGCGCGCCACACCGGGCGCCGACGCACCCGGCGCCACCCGAGCGGCCGCCGGCGUCGCCGGGCGCG